AUGUUUAUGUCAUAUCAAUCACUGAAGGUCUGUUUUCUUUGGAUCGCAGAGACUGUUGUGAAAACCGUCAGUCGACAACCUGACGUUACUCCAGUGUGCAUGAGUAAAAACUUGGGUAUGACUAAACUUGUAGGAUGUAGAAUCACCACAGAAAAACACCGGGGGGAAGAAUUCUGCCUGCUUUACAUGCCUGGCAAGCAAAUUGACCAAGAAUGCGACUCCAGGUUCACUCUGAUUAACGAGAAUCGGACUGUAUUUAUCCACCUGGAGAGUUUAACAUCAGUGGACAGCGGGAAUUACAUCUGUGAGUGUUCAUAUGAAAGAGGAACACGCAUUACCCACCUUAAAAUAACAGUGGAAGGUGCAGAGGAUGCUACAUUUUCUGGCACAAAGUUCGCCGUCAUUGCUCUCAGUGUUGCUACUGGAUUCAUUAUUACAGCGGGGGUGAUCUGUGGAUUUAUCCUGAGAAGCAUUCAUAACAGAGACAACACAAGAUCAUGCGCAUUUGAACUAACCAGAUCUGGAGUUCCCCCAGCUCUGGGCCAAGAUGACGUCUACACGAGCCUUCAGCAGCCAGCUACUGAAGUCUACCAAACUAUGUCUCUAUGUCGCCCUCAUCGUGAUUCUGAGGUGGAUCCAACCAACAUCUAUGCAAUUAUCAAUCAGGAAAUAGUUGGCAAGGAGAAGGAUUUCCAUCCAAAUAGCCCUAUCUAUGAAACUAUAGGUUGCUUUAAAACUUUAGAUACAUUGUAAUGUUCAAGACACAGACUUCUUAUGUUGAUGUAUUUUUAUUGCCAGCAGUGAUGAUAUCUGAUGUCUUUACAAAUAUGUAAAUAAUUUUGGAGUCUGACAUCUGGUCCAAACACGUAAAUUGCCUUUUUUAGUACAUAGGACCCUGUAGCAGGGUCAUUGCCAUUGUAAAGGAGAUAAAUGUAUGUGCACAUGGGUAUUGUACUGUCAAGAUACCUGCACGCAUUUCUUAUUUUGGGGAAGCAUGUUGGGGUAUUGGAGUUAUCGCAAUAACGAGAUUGCUAAUAGCACAUAUGUCAAAACAUCAUAGCUGUAAUUACAGCUGGGAAACACAGACUUUUUUGGAAUACAGAUGUACCUGAAAACCAAACAAAUUGGACACCUCAUAUCAGUCAGAGUAUGUUGUUAGAGAUGAUUAGAUCCACAUGUUAUAGAUACAGUAUAAUAUAGUCACUGUACAGUAUUUUUAAUCCUUACUUGACUAACUUGUUAUCACAUGACUGUCUUCACUUCUUUUGGGUAAUCCCCGUUGCCUACAGCCUCGACUAUUGCAUUGUUUUAUUUGUGGACAUUCUUUAUCAGAAUAAAGGCUUGUGAUUGGUUCACUUGCUGUCUGUUUAAUCUUAGAGUAUCUUAACAUGAAAGCAGAAGCACCUGUAGCAGCACUUCCCUUUUAGACGACUUCACGCCUCCUCGCACCCCUGUGUGUAUCGAGAAUUUUGGGUUGCGGUAGCUGAGUGGUUUAAAGAUGCGCGUCCAACCUGCUCGCUUCAGUAAAACACACCGGGCACUACCAGCAGCAGCUCAGUGCUGUUAAGAUGUCUUGACCAGUAUGGAUAGAUGGAAACUGUGGUUUGUUCUUCUUCUGCCGAUAGCUUUUUAUACUGACAGCAAAGGUACGGUACAAGAACUACUUUUUACUAACUGAAUAACUAUUGCAAGAUGCUGUUCUCUAAUGAUCUUGUGUAGAAGGUUUAGAGAGUGCAACAGUAUAUUUUCUGUAACUUGCUCGUUCUAGUGUAAUUCAAAAUGUUGUUAGAAACACAAAUACAUUAAAUACAUUGUUGCACUGUAUUGAUUUUAAUUUAUUGAUUGCAGAUGUUAAGAUGCUACUUGUGAAAACAAUCGGGAGCAAACCAGAUGUCACUCCAAUAUGCACCAAUGAAACACAGAAUCCCAUCGUGUUUAUAGUUUGUAAUAUCAGAACAGAGAGAAGCACAGAAGAAUGCCGUGUGCUGUAUCGAGACAACUUUGUGCAUGAAUGUGACUCCAGAUUCAGACUUGUGACAGAGAAUCAGACUGAAUGUGACUCCAGAUUCAGACUUGUGACAGAGAAUCAUACUGUAUUCCUCCACCUGACCAGUUUAAAACCAGAGGAUAGUGGGAACUACACCUGUGAGUGUUCACAGUCUUUUGGAACAUAUAUUCUCCAACUGAAUAUCACUGUGGAAGGUAAAUGAUACAAUAUUCAAUGAUUCUUUCAAAGAAAGAAUGCAAUCUUUACUCAUUCUGUAUAAAUAGUGAACACCUGUACAACUUUUCUAACAGUUUUCUUUGUUUUUUUACAAUGUUUAAGAGGAUGAAGACCCCAGCAGCAAUACAAAAAUCCCUUACUUGUAUGCUGUAAUUGGUGUGUUUGCGCUCAUCAUAACCGGAGUUAUCCUCGGAGUCAUCCACAGAAAAACUCAACAUGGGUAAGAGAUCAAUAUGAUAGUGACUAAAUUCACAGCACAACAGCUUAAUAAUUAAUAAUUUGUUAUUACUUGUCCAUUUCCCCAACAGAAGACGAUCAGAGCCGCUGCACGAUCGUCCGAACACGGUACUGUGUCUGCUUUGUUGGCUGCAGUUCAUUUAAUGGCAGACAAAACUACUACAAUUUCUUUUACCCUGAAAAUGUUUUGUUGUUUUGCAGGAACCAGGAGUCACUGAGCCGUACAUGACCUACAUUCAGAGAGAGAAUGAGCUUUAUUCUGCCAGUGUGUACAGUUACAUCAGUGCUAAUAAUUCAAACAUGUUCCCUUAAAAUGAAACAGAUUUAAGGAUGCGUUUGUAGAGUUUUAGUUUUAUAUUGUCUCUGAUGCAUAUUUUAAAUAAUAAAGGGCCUGUUGUCCAUAAACUGACUAUUUUGCUUUGCCAAAUACUCUGCAGUGCAUUUAAUCCUGAAACGAAGCUAAUUUUAUUCACAUUUUAUUUGAUGUGGUAAAUGGGCACUUCAAAUACAUUUCACUGUCUGGCAAAUAUGAUAAGAAUAAUUGAUCUAAUAAAUGCAUGGUUAAAACAAAGUCUACUCUUAUUAAUUUGAUUUCCGUUAUUUCGUUUGUCGAAUACCUGUAAAGUAAUAAUGAAAUAUAGGCUUUACUUUAAACAAACAUCUUGUGUGUCCCAUUGAUGCAAACAACUGUUAAGCUUUAGCACUUAAAUUCUGUCAUGAUUCAUGUGAUAUACAGUAUAAACCAUUACGUCAGCUUGAGUUAACACCAAGCAUCUCAACUUCCUGCAUGAACCUUCUUCCCCCACAACAUCUACCCCAAGGCUCUUCUCUGCAGCCACCACAAUGUUGCAAAUGCCUCCUUACCUCAUUUUCAGUCACAGCAACAUAAUGUAAUUUUUUUUUAACCUUUAAAGUAACAGCUUCAAAAUCAUUUUAAGGGUACAGCGUCUUGUAAUAGGGUGUAUUGUGUGUAAGCUUAGUGACAGGGUUGGAUUGCAGCUUUACAAACAUCUUUACUUCAACAUACAAAAAACAAAAAAACUCAUAACAUUACGACAUACUGAGUUUUGUUAAAUUGCUACAGACCUGGGAUUUUGAAUUAACAACAGUGGUGUUGCACUCAGAAACUGCGGGGGGCGCCGAAUCGCAUAAAAGCCCAUUUCUAC
ensembl:lncRNA